rnacentral:rRNA from 1 species
AGUGAACGCUGGCGGUAGGCCUAACACAUGCAAGUCGAACGGCAGCACAGUAAGAGCUUGCUCUUACGGGUGGCGAGUGGCGGACGGGUGAGGAAUACAUCGGAAUCUACUUUUUCGUGGGGGAUAACGUAGGGAAACUUACGCUAAUACCGCAUACGACCUACGGGUGAAAGCAGGGGAUCUUCGGACCUUGCGCGAUUGAAUGAGCCGAUGUCGGAUUAGUUUGUUGGCGGGGUAAAGGCCCACCAAGGCGACGAUCCGUAGCUGGUCUGAGAGGAUGAUCAGCCACACUGGAACUGAGACACGGUACAGACUCCUACGGGAGGCAGCAGUGGGAAAUAUUGGACAAUGGGCGCAAGCCUGAUCCAGCCAUACCGCGUGAGUGAAGAAGGCAUUCGGGUUGUAAAGCCCUUUUGUUGGGAAAGAAAAGCAGCAGGUUAAUACCCCGCUGUUCUGACGGUACCCAAAGAAUAAGCACCGGCUAACUUCGUG